CAUGUGGGGAGCAGGUCAAAGCCCUUUGUUUCUCGGACUUGCAGGUAGAGAUUCCAAAGGAUACUGAAGAAUGGCAGAAGGUAGCAAGAAAUUUCGAAGUGAAGUGGAAUUUCCCUCACUGCAGAGGAGCCAUAUAUGGCAAAAAUGUGCAAAUUAUGUGUCCUCCGAAUACUGGAAGUGAAUACAUCAACUACAAAAAAACAUUCAGCAUUGUCCUUAUGGCAAUUGUAGACGCAAAUUACUGCUUUCAAUAUGUAAAUGUUGGAUGUCACAGGGGCAGAAAGAGAGGGGAGGAGGAGAUUGACUUAGAGGGGGAGAGAAAUUGACCUUAGUGAAGGGGAGAGUGACGGAGGGGGUAGGAGGUGAUAGAGGAGAGAAGCAGAUGGACAGAGAGAAGGGCAGGAGAAUAUGGGGAGUGGGAAAAGUUGAUUUACCUCAUUUAUAAAAUUAAUAAAUCUACAUAUGGUGUUAAUUCACAACUUUGUAAAUGAUUCGUGUAAUAUGCGAUACUCAAACUAUACUAAUAUAUGAGAUGAAUAAAAUGUAAAAUUAAAA